GGCCUUCGGGUACACGAGCGGCGAACGGGUGAGUAACACGUGGGUGAUCUGCCUCGCACUUCGGGAUAAGCCUGGGAAACUGGGUCUAAUACCGGAUAUGACCUUCCAGUGCAUGCUGGUUGGUGGAAAGAUUUAUCGGUGCGAGAUGGGCCCGCGGCCUAUCAGCUUGUUGGUGAGGUAACGGCUCACCAAGGCGACGACGGGUAGCCGACCUGAGAGGGUGACCGGCCACACUGGGACUGAGACACGGCCCAGACUCCUACGGGAGGCAGCAGUGGGGAAUAUUGCACAAUGGGCGAAAGCCUGAUGCAGCGACGCCGCGUGGAGGAUGACGGCCUUCGGGUUGUAAACUCCUUUCGACAGGGACGAAGCGCAAGUGACGGUACCUGUAGAAGAAGCACCGGCCAACUACGUGCCAGCAGCCGCGGUAAUACGUAGGGUGCGAGCGUUGUCCGGAAUUACUGGGCGUAAAGAGCUUGUAGGCGGUCUGUCGCGUCUUCUGUGAAAACUUGGGGCUCAACCUUAAGCUUGCAGGCGAUACGGGCAGACUAGAGUACUUCAGGGGAGACUGGAAUUCCUGGUGUAGCGGUGAAAUGCGCAGAUAUCAGGAGGAACACCGGUGGCGAAGGCGGGUCUCUGGGAAGUAACUGACGCUGAGAAGCGAAAGCAUGGGUAGC
rnacentral:rRNA from 1 species